UGCCGCGUGCAGGAUGAAGGCCUUCGGGUUGUAAACUGCUUUUGUACGGAACGAAACGGCGAGCUCUAAUACAGUUUGCUAAUGACGGUACCGUAAGAAUAAGCACCGGCUAACUACGUGCCAGCAGCCGCGGUAAUACGUAGGGUGCGAGCGUUAAUCGGAAUUACUGGGCGUAAAGCGUGCGCAGGCGGUGAUGUAAGACAGAUGUGAAAUCCCCGGGCUCAACCUGGGACCUGCAUUUGUGACUGCAUCGCUAGAGUACGGCAGAGGCCCAUGGAAUUCCCCGUGUAGCAAUGAAAUGCGUAGAUAUGCGGAGGAACACCGAUGGCGAANGC
rnacentral:rRNA from 1 species